rnacentral:rRNA from 1 species
UUAAGCCAUGGGAGUCGAGAGGGUUCCGUCCUCGGCGUACUGCUCAGUAACACGUGGAUAACCUACCCUAAGGUGGGAGAUAACCCCGGGAAACUGGGGAUAAUACCCCAUAGUCUAUGGAAGCUGGAAUGCUCUAUAGUUGAAAGAUUUAUCGCCUUAGGAUGGGUCUGCGGCCGAUUAGGUAGUUGUUGGGGUAACGGCCCAACAAGCCUUUGAUCGGUACGGGUUGUGGGAGCAAGAGCCCGGAGAUGGAUUCUGAGACACGAAUCCAGGCCCUACGGGGCGCAGCAGGCGCGAAAACUUUACAAUGCGGGAAACCGUGAUAAGGGAACUCCGAGUGCCCGUAAACGCGGGCUGUCCAUCUGCUUAAAAAACAGGUGAAGAAAGGGCCGGGCAAGACCGGUGCCAGCCGCCGCGGUAAUACCGGCGGCUCGAGUGGUGGCCACUAUUACUGGGCUUAAAGCGUCCGUAGCUUGGUUGUUAAGUCUCUUGGGAAAUCUGUCGGCUUAACCGACAGGCGUUUAAGGGAUACUGGCAAUCUAGGGACCGGGAGAGGUGAGAGGUACUCCAGGGGUAGGAGUGAAAUCCUGUAAUCCUUGGGGGACCACCUGUGGCGUAGGCGUCUCACCAGAACGGCUCCGACAGUGAGGGACGAAAGCUGGGGGAGCAAACCGGAUUAGAUACCCGGGUAGUCCCAGCCGUAAACGAUGCGCGUUAGGUGUAUCGGUGACCACGAGUCACCGAGGUGCCGAAGGGAAACCGUGAAACGUGCCGCCUGGGAAGUACGGUCGCAAGGCUGAAACUUAAAGGAAUUGGCGGGGGAGCACCACAACAGGUGGAGCCUGCGGUUUAAUCGGACUCAACGCCGGGAACCUCACCGGAUAAGACAGCGGGAUGAUAGCCAGGCUGAAGACGUUGCUUGACUAGCUGAGAGGAGGUGCAUGGCC